GCUACGGGGUGCAGCAGUGGGGAAUAUUGGACAAUGGGGGAAACCCUGAUCCAGCGACGCCGCGUGAGUGAAGAAGUAUUUCGGUACGUAAAGCUCUAUCAGCAGGAAAGAAAAUGACGGUACCUGACUAAGAAGCCCCGGCUAACUACGUGCCAGCAGCCGCGGUAAUACGUAGGGGGCAAGCGUUAUCCGGAUUUACUGGGUGUAAAGGGAGCGUAGACGGCAGCGCAAGUCUGGGGUGAAAUGCCGGGGCGCCACCCCGUAACUGCUCUGGAAACUGGGAAGACGGGUUGCAGGAGAGUUAAGCGGAAUUCCUGGUGUAGCGGUGAAAUGCGUAGAUAUCAGGAGGAACACCGGCGGCGAAGGAGGCUUACUGGACUGUAACUGACGUUGAGGCUCGAAGGCGUGGGGAGCAAACAGGAUUAGAUACCCCGUAGUC
rnacentral:rRNA from 1 species